GUAGUUCGGAAUUACUGAGCCUAAAGAGCACGUAGGUGGUUAAGAAAGUUGGUGGUGAAAUCCCAAGGCUUAACCUUGGAACUGCCACCAAAACUUUUUAACUAGAGUAUGAUUGAGGUAAGCGGAAUUUCUAGUGUAGAGGUGAAAUUCGUAGAUAUUAGAAAGAACACCAAUUGCGAAGGCAGCUUUCUGGAUCAUUACUGACACUGAGGUGCGAAAGCAUGGGUAGCGAAGAGGAUUAGAUACCCUCGUAGUCCAUGCCGUAAACGAUGUGUGCUAGACGUUGGGAAUUUAUUUUUCAGUGUCGCAGCAAAAGCGUUAAGCACACCGCCUGGGGAGUACGACCGCAAGGUUAAAACUCAAAUGAAUUGACGGGGACCCGCACAAGUAGUGGAGCAUGUGGUUUAAUUCGAAGAUACGCGCAGAACCUUACCAACACUUGACAUGUUCGUCGCGACUCUAAGAGAUUAGAGUUUUCGGUUCGGCCGGACGAAACACAGGUGCUGCAUGGCUGUCGUCAGCUCGUGUCGUGAGAUGUUGGGUUAAGUCCCGCAACGAGCGCAACCCUUACUUUUAGUUGCUACCAUUUAGUUGGGCACUCUAGAAGAACUGCCGGUGAUAAGCUGGAGGAAGGUGGGGAUGACGUCAAGUCCUCAUGGCCCUUAUGUGUUGGGCUACACACGUGCUACAAUGGUAUUUACAGUGGGAUGCAAAGAGGCAACUCCAAGCUAACCCCUAAAGAAUACCUCAGUUCGGAUUGUACUCUGCAACUCGAGUACAUGAAGCUGGAAUUACUAGUAAUCGCGGAUCAGCGCGCCGCGGUGAAUACGUUCCCGGGUCUUGUACACACCGCCCGUCACACCAUGGAAGUUGGUUACACCUUAAGGCAAAG
rnacentral:rRNA from 1 species